CUGAGAAAUCUAAUCUGGGAAAAAGCCUCCUCUGGUCUUGCUGAAUCAGAUUUUCUGUUGUUGUUCUGCUGGGCUCAGUAGCUCCCUGGCAGGGGACCUGCUUUUUUUUUAAGGCUCUGGUUGGACAUCUUCCCUCAUUUGUGCCUUUCACCAUUCACUCACUUACCACUAGGUCAUUCUCCAAGUUCUCACUGGGAGCUUUUCUAUGCCAAGCCCUAUGAGGUGCUAAGGUAGGAACUUAGAUGUAGACAGCACUGUCUCUGACCAGGAUGUCACCAACACGCUGGCAGGAAUGGGAAAUACUGGGCUUGGAGAAGGUGGGACGAGCUUAGCCAGGGAUCAGGUAUGUUGACACAAGGCCUUCAGGGGUUGGUGGGAUUCUGUGGGAUGGGAUAGAAAAGCAAGGACAUUCUUGGUGUCAGAAGCAGAUUCAACUCAACUCAAUUCAGCUCCUGGGCUGGCCUGGUACAGAUAUCCAUAAAGAGCUGUCAAAUCAAUUAAUAUGAGGUGUCAAGAGUUGGAUAAAAGGAAGGGACUUUGCCCAGUGUGAAAGUACCUUAUCCAGUCUUGCAGAGUAAGCAGGAACUGGGCAGAGGUGGAGGACAGCUGGGCCUGAAGGCCGGUAUGUUCUCCUAACCAUACUGACAAUUGGUGACCAGGGAGGGAAUCUCCCAGGGACUCACGUUCUGGAAAGGAGGACAAAAUACAGCUCGUGGGUAUCAAGGCCAGCUCAGAUCUCCUUUCCCGGCUGCUAUUCUGUAGCCCAAUUUCCAUUCCUCUUCGUAUAUUUUAUUUAUUUAUUGUUUGGUAGUACUGGGGUGUGAACUCAGGGUCUUGUAGUUGAUAGGCAGGCACUCUUACUCUAUCAUCUGAGCCAUACCUCCAGAUUUUGUGUAUUGUCUUUGGGCCUUUCUGGAGAUCCCUCCUGGGCUAAUAACAAUAAUUUAAAGGGUGAGAAUUCUCCAUUGUAACCAGCUGGAGAAAGCAAGUGGGACUUCCCAGAUCAGGGGCAAGGAAUCUGAGACCUCACAUGAAGUCAGAUUGGAAUAGCUGCCAUGUGCCAGGCUCUCAGUUUUAGAACCUUCCCCCCUGUGUCUGAAAGAGCCUGAAGAAGCAGCUUCUGCUGUCCGAGGAAAAUGAGCCUCUGCCCAGUCCUUGAAGCAGACAUGAGCGAGUUGUCAUGUUGCAGUGCUGUCUGGCAUGCCAACAGUGAGGAGGUGACGGAUGCCUCCUCCUGACGAGGCGGGCAGGGAAGCCACCCUGAGACCAAGCUGGAUGGAGUUUAAAACAAAUGCCAAGGAUAAAUUGGGCUUGGGAGUGCUGCAUGGCGCAGCCCCACAGCAUACAUCUAGGCAUCUCAUGACUACCAGAUGGAUUAAGUAGAAAGACUGGCCACGGAACUGGGGGCUCCCUGAAAUGAGGUACCGCACUGCCAUCUUCACUUUUCCAGACAUGGCGCAGGAGAGUCAUUGGUGAUGACUUGCUGGACACGUGAUCUGAGUGCGUGGCUUCUCUCCUCACCAUCCCAGGCUCUGAACUGCAGCUGACACUGUCAUUCUCCAUCACUGGCAGCAGCGGACAGCUGUGCCCUCCGUUCACCUGGAAUUCCUGGCUCCUAUCUCACUGGCUGGCACA